rnacentral:rRNA from 1 species
CCUACGGGAGGCAGCAGUGGGGAAUAUUGGACAAUGGGCGAAAGCCUGAUCCAGCCAUGCCGCGUGUGUGAAGAAGGCCUUCGGGUUGUAAAGCACUUUCAGUGGGGAAGAAAGCCUUGGGGCUAAUACCCUCGAGGAAGGACAUCACCCACAGAAGAAGCACCGGCUAACUCCGUGCCAGCAGCCGCGGUAAUACGGAGGGUGCGAGCGUUAAUCGGAAUUACUGGGCGUAAAGCGCGCGUAGGCGGUCUGAUAAGCCGGUUGUGAAAGCCCCGGGCUCAACCUGGGAACGGCAUCCGGAACUGUCAGGCUAGAGUGCAGGAGAGGAAGGUAGAAUUCCCGGUGUAGCGGUGAAAUGCGUAGAGAUCGGGAGGAAUACCAGUGGCGAAGGCGGCCUUCUGGACUGACACUGACGCUGAGGUGCGAAAGCGUGGGUAGCAAACCGGAUUAGAUACCCCGGUAGUC